rnacentral:rRNA from 1 species
UGUGAGGGUUGCUGGAGGUAUCAGAAGUGCGAAUGCUGACAUAAGUAACGAUAAAGCGGGUGAAAAGCCCGCUCGCCGGAAGACCAAGGGUUCCUGUCCAACGUUAAUCGGGGCAGGGUGAGUCGACCCCUAAGGCGAGGCCGAAAGGCGUAGUCGAUGGGAAACGGGUUAAUAUUCCCGUACUUGGUGUUACUGCGAAGGGGGGACGGAGAAGGCUAUGUUGGCCGGGCGACGGUUGUCCCGGUUUAAGCGUGUAGGUGUGUGUUCCAGGUAAAUCCGGUUCACUUUAACACUGAGGCGUGAUGACGAGGCACUACGGUGCUGAAGUAACAAAUGCCCUGCUUCCAGGAAAAGCCUCUAAGCAUCAGGUAACAUCAAAUCGUACCCCAAACCGACACAGGUGGUCAGGUAGAGAAUACCAAGGCGCUUGAGAGAACUCGGGUGAAGGAACUAGGCAAAAUGGUGCCGUAACUUCGGGAGAAGGCACGCUGACACGUAGGUGAAGUGAUUUACUCACGGAGCUGAAGUCAGUCGAAGAUACCAGCUGGCUGCAACUGUUUAUUAAAAACACAGCACUGUGCAAACACGAAAGUGGACGUAUACGGUGUGACGCCUGCCCGGUGCCGGAAGGUUAAUUGAUGGGGUCAGCGCAAGCGAAGCUCCUGAUCGAAGCCCCGGUAAACGGCGGCCGUAACUAUAACGGUCCUAAGGUAGCGAAAUUCCUUGUCGGGUAAGUUCCGACCUGCACGAAUGGCGUAAUGAUGGCCAGGCUGUCUCCACCCGAGACUCAGUGAAAUUGAACUCGCUGUGAAGAUGCAGUGUACCCGCGGCAAGACGGAAAGACCCCGUGAACCUUUACUAUAGCUUGACACUGAACAUUGAGCCUUGAUGUGUAGGAUAGGUGGGAGGCUUUGAAGUGUGGACGCCAGUCUGCAUGGAGCCGACCUUGAAAUACCACCCUUUAAUGUUUGAUGUUCUAACGUGGACCCGUUACCCGGGUUGCGGACAGUGUCUGGUGGGUAGUUUGACUGGGGCGGUCUCCUCCUAAAGAGUAACGGAGGAGCACGAAGGUUGGCUAAUCCUGGUCGGACAUCAGGAGGUUAGUGCAAUGGCAUAAGCCAGCUUGACUGCGAGCGUGACGGCGCGAGCAGGUGCGAAAGCAGGUCAUAGUGAUCCGGUGGUUCUGAAUGGAAGGGCCAUCGCUCAACGGAUAAAAGGUACUCCGGGGAUAACAGGCUGAUACCGCCCAAGAGUUCAUAUCGACGGCGGUGUUUGGCACCUCGAUGUCGGCUCAUCACAUCCUGGGGCUGAAGUAGGUCCCAAGGGUAUGGCUGUUCGCCAUUUAAAGUGGUACGCGAGCUGGGUUUAGAACGUCGUGAGACAGUUCGGUCCCUAUCUGCCGUGGGCGCUGGAGAACUGAGGGGGGCUGCUCCUAGUACGAGAGGACCGGAGUGGACGCAUCACUGGUGUUCGGGUUGUCAUGCCAAUGGCACUGCCCGGUAGCUAAAUGCGGAAGAGAUAAGUGCUGAAAGCAUCUAAGCACGAAACUUGCCCCGAGAUGAGUUCUCCCUGAGACUUUAGGUCUCCUGAAGGAACGUUGAAGACGACGACGUUGAUAGGCCGGGUGUGUAAGCGCAGCGAUGCGUUGAGCUAACCGGUACUAAUGAACCGUGAGGCUUAACCUUACAACGCCG